CCCAGCAUUUCGCUCCGCUCAUACUGGGCUGUUAUAGGUCGUGCCUUCAGCACU
rnacentral:sRNA from 1 species